rnacentral:sRNA from 1 species
AGAUGUACGGCGCAGCAGCUUAUCGGCAACGCAUCUGAUUUUGCCGAUCCGUUUGCUGAGCGGAAACGGCACGACCUCGCAC